GCAUACAAAUGACUUCUUUUAGAGAACCACUGAAUGGAAUGAAACCAAACAUGGCAUGAAUGUUCCUUAUGAGGUGCUGACCAAGUGUUGUUACUUUGCAGUCGGUCCAUCAUCCAAGAUGGCCGACAGCAGGGGACUUAGUUUAACAAAGGACCUAUGGGAAAUACAUACAAAUGUCUUCUUUUAGCGAACCACUGAAUGGAAUGAAACCAAACAUGGCAUGAAUGUUCCUUAUGAGAUGCUGACCAAGUGUUGUUACUUUGUAGCCGAUCCAUCAUCCAAGAUGGCCGACAGCGGGGACUUAGUUUAACAUAGGACCCUAUGGGAAAUACAUACAAUUGUCUUCUUUUAGAGAACCACUGAAUGGAAUUGAACCAAACAUGGUAUGAAUGUUCCUUAUGAGUUUCUGACCAAGUGUUGUUACUUUGCAGUCGAUCCAUCAUCCAAGAUGGCCGCCAGCAGGGGACUUAGUUUAACAUAGGACCCUAUGGGAAAUGCAUACAAAUGACUUCUUUUAGAGAACCACUGAAUGGAAUGAAACCAAACAUGGCAUGAAUGUUCCUUAUGAGGUGCUCACCAAGUGUUGUUACUUUGUAGCGGAUCCAUCAUCCAAGAUGGCCGCCAGCGGGGGACUUAGUUUAACAUAGGACCCUAUGGGAAAUACAUACACAUGUCUUCUUUUAGAGUACCACUGAAUGGAAUGAAACCAAACAUGGCAUGAAUGUUCCUUAUGAAGUGCUGACCAAGUGUUGCUACUUUGUUGCCGAUUUACUGUUCAAGAUGGCCACCAGGAUAUUUUAUUAGAUAACAGGACCAAUAUUAAUCAAAAUUUGGCCUCAAUCAUUAUUUGGAUAUCUGUUAUGAUUUUUAUCUAUCUUUACAUGAUUUCUAAAACCAAAGUAGAGUCAGGUGAGCGACACAGGCUCUUGAGAGCCUCUAGUUUUAUGU